AUUGAACGCUGGCGGCAUGCCUUACACAUGCAAGUCGAACGGCAGCGCGGGAGCAAUCCUGGCGGCGAGUGGCGAACGGGUGAGUAAUAUAUCGGAACGUGCCCAGUAGUGGGAGAUAGCCCGGCGAAAGCCGGAUUAAUACCGCAUACGACCUACGGGUGAAAGGGGGGGAUCGCAAGACCUCUCGCUAUUGGAGCGGCCGAUAUCAGAUUAGGUAGUUGGUGGGGUAAAGGCCUACCAAGCCUGCGAUCUGUAGUUGGUCUGAGAGGACGACCAGCCACACUGGGACUGAGACACGGCCCAGACUCCUACGGGAGGCAGCAGUGGGGAAUUUUGGACAAUGGGCGCAAGCCUGAUCCAGCAAUGCCGCGUGCAGGAAGAAGGCCUUCGGGUUGUAAACUGCUUUUGUCAGGGAAGAAAUCCUCUAGGCUAAUACCUUGGGGGGAUGACGGUACCUGAAGAAUAAGCACCGGCUAACUACGUGCCAGCCGCCGCUGUAAGAC
rnacentral:rRNA from 1 species